AUUAACGUCGAACGCUUAGCUCUAGGGACAAACUAAUUCCGCUAGAUCGCUCCAGCUGUACUAUUCACUUGCUGGUACACAUACCAGCGGCUAUUAUUGUGUCUAUAAAAGAAGUUUAAGCAUCAACUUUAUUCAUCAAGAACAGCGCUACAAGUUGCUAUGAAUUUGAAGUCUAUAGAACAAACAUUGAAUGUG